rfam:Strongylocentrotus purpuratus Contig132185_fixed, whole genome shotgun sequence.
AAAACGGCUCUUUUCAGAGCCACCAAAACUCCAAGAAAGAUUCAAU